rnacentral:rRNA from 1 species
GACGAACGCUGGCGGCGUGCCUAAUACAUGCAAGUCGAACGAGAGCGACCGGUGCUUGCACUGGUCAAUCUAGUGGCGAACGGGUGAGUAACACGUGGGUAACCUGCCCAUCAGAGGGGGAUAACAUCCGGAAACGGAUGCUAAAACCGCAUAGGUCUUCGAACCGCAUGGUUUGAAGAGGAAAAGAGGCGCAAGCUUCUGCUGAUGGAUGGACCCGCGGUGCAUUAGCUAGUUGGUGAGGUAACGGCUCACCAAGGCCGUGAUGCAUAGCCGACCUGAGAGGGUGAUCGGCCACAUUGGGACUGAGACACGGCCCAAACUCCUACGGGAGGCAGCAGUAGGGAAUCUUCCGCAAUGGACGCAAGUCUGACGGAGCAACGCCGCGUGAGUGAAGAAGGUUUUCGGAUCGUAAAACUCUGUUGUUAGAGAAGAACAAGUGCUAGAGUAACUGUUAGCGCCUUGACGGUAUCUAACCAGAAAGCCAUGGCUAACUACGUG